CCCGGCAGCUGCUGCGGCUCCGCGGGGGCCCGGCCCGGCCGGAGGAAGGCGCCCCGAGGAGCGCAGCGUGGCCCGCGCUGGAAGUUCCGGCGUGGCUCGUCUCGGGGCCCCGUGUCUAAGGGCUCCUCUGCCUCCUCCAGCAGCGACAAGGAUCGCGGUGUCGGGCAGCUGAGCGCAGUAAACCUGUCACACAGUAGUGUGGUUUGCUCUUUUAAUGGAGCCAGCGCUGUUGUACAGCCUGAGUCAUCCCGCAGGCUUGUAGGGAAAGCUACGAGCUUGCCUUCUCCUGGAGCGGGAGCUGCGCCGUGCUCUGUGCCCUGGCUUUUUGGAAAAACAUUGCUGCCCAGUCCAUUGCCGUCUUAGUUCAAUGUUUGCUUGAUCAUCAGUAUCUUUUACCAGGAAAAAAGCCCUCGACGGUUACCUUGGAGGCUUUGUGAAGCUUCAUGUGCCCUACUGAUCAGGUUAAAGCUCAGGUGGAGAAGAAAAUGGAAGAGAGCUUGAAGCCUUACAUAUGCUUGUGGAAUAGGUAGCCCUGGGAAGGGAGGUGUUUGGAGUGUGAUUUUAGACUGUAGGAUUUCCCAGCUGUGGAUCUGGUAGUGAGUUACAUAAGGAAGUUUUGUUACAGCUGAGUCUUGCUUCUCUGCAAGUGUUCUGUCCCUUUCUUUAGUGGUCCUCAGGGCAUUGUGGAGACUCUUCCACCGUGUUUGUGGGCCCACAGGUGCUUUGGAAGAGCUCUUACUCCUUAGCAAUGGAUACUGAAUAGGAUAAAUGUGGCUGUGGGGGGCUGGGCAUAGGCAGUGCAGGGCUGUUGUGGGGAGGGUGAAUCUUGUGUGAAGUAAGUCAGGAAAGCUGCUUGGUUGUAGUUCAGUGCAUGCUGAGGGUCAAGAGUCAAGACUUUGAGAGCACUUGCAUUUCCAGGCUGGUUUGUGACAUGAGAAAAGCUGGAUGUGUGGAGUCUUUGUUAACGUUGGGUGCUUGUGGACUGACUCUUCAUGCUGCUUUUCAAAAACAAAGUACCCUGAGAGAUAAUGGGGACUGUGUAGGGCUGAGAGAGUCUUCAAAGCCUUGGGAAGUAGCAAGAGCAUCACCAAAGCAGUUUUGUGUGAGCUCUGCAAAGAGUUUCAGUGGAGUGAGCGUGGUGGCUGUGGAUGAGAGGGAGAUGAUGGGGCUGGAGGCAGCAUUUCCACAAAGCAGCGUAUGGGGAGGGAAAUAAAUCUGCCUGUUGUAGCAGCCCAGAUGCUUUGGAAGUUGGAUGGGCGUGAAGCUACAGGCUGGAAAGAGCACUCGGAGCUGCUGUGGGUGUCUCAGUGUAACUGCUUCAGUAAUCAUGGCUGGCUGUUUACGCUCGGGCUAUUUUAAACCCCCUGCAGAGCGCUCCUAUCAUCAUCUCCGGGUUGUUGUGGUCUCUGGAAGGGUGCAGUGGCUGCCCCUGUCAGGAUAACGAGGGGACAGCCAGUUUUUGACCUUUGCUGCUGCAGUUUGUGGCAGGAGCAGAAGCCUGCAGAAUGUGGAUUGAGUAGGAAUAAUCCCAGUGGACUCGAGCAGAGAGACACGAUGGCAGAGAAAACUGCUGCUUUGGCUUUUUUUUUUAGGGUGUUAUCAGUCAUGGUAUAUCAGUGUGCACAGCUCAGUCUGGCCACUGGCUCUUGCUCUUGGCAGCCGGGGUUUUUACUGAACCACAAAGGCUUUCUAUGAGAUUUUUGUCAAAAUUUUUGUGUCCUGGGAUAACACAGGGCUAAGAACUUGGAAAGGAGAAAAUCCCAAGAGUGAAGGUUUGAUACAGUGUUACCUGAAAUGGCCUCUUGUAUGUUGAACUCGGCUGGACUGGGAGGGGGCAGAACAAGCAGUGAGCCCGUGGUGUUGCUGGUGUGUGAGGCUGCCCAAUCGGUCACUGGUGGCACAGUUGCUCUUGGGAUUGUGCAGAGGCUGGAGCUGGGGUAACAUGUGUGCACACAGCAGCAGCUGUUCUCUAAGCAGAUGCUCCAAAAGAGCUCAGGCUGGAUGAGACCUGCUCUCAGAUGGCUGCCUGUGUUACUCACCAUGGUAUUUUGGGCAGUGUGGCUCCAAAUUCUUGUUUGGGUGCUUUUAUUGGAUCAUGGGUCUGAAACUUGAAAUCUUGUCUUGUGAGAAGUGUUUGGGGUGUAAGCAAUACUGCCAGGCAGAGUCCUUCUAGUCAGUAACACUGAAGGAUAGUAAUUGAAUUGGUCUUUUUAUAUAUAUGUAAAAAUGGUCUAUUUUAUUCUAGAUAUAUUUUGUAAGAAAAGUGGUGUGAAGGGCAGGAUGGGAGGGAUGUACAGGAGGGCCUUCCAUUUUAAGGUUUGAGCCAAAACACUUUGGAUUCAGCCACAUCCCCAUCUGUGUUCCUUAUCUUUAGGGAAUGCAAUACCUGUAAGUGGAUAACUAGGGCACCGUUUGGAGUUCUUUGAAUGGGAAAGCAAGGAAAAGGUUAGCUCAUUGUCUUGCACGGGUUCCCCUGUGUGAUGGGCGGGUGAGGGGGAAGGGAAAGCAGCAGCUGUGCUUGAGCCCUGCUCAAGUAAAACACUUUCUGUAGCAGAGGAAUUGGGGAUUACUACUGCUUAUAAUGUAUAGGCCCAAAAACCAGGUAGCAGAACUGAAUUCCAUAGUGCUGUUCCUGUGUAGCUAUGGAAGAGAGGGGAGUACCUGCUGUAGUCCUGCAGUCCAGAGAUGCUUAGGCAUCACUUCUGCCCAAAGGAGCAGUGCCUGUGGGUGGGAUGUGUGAGGACAAGGGUGCAGACCAGCCUUGGUAGUCAGAGUUGUCUUUGUGCUACCUGUGCUGAGCAGACCUGGUGUUAUUUCUGUGCUGCCAGUUCUGUACAGCAGCCAGUGGGAGCAACUGGGUUCUUCCGCUGGGCCUCUUGCUGCGUGCGUGGAGCUGCCAGCACAGCCCAUCUGUGUUGGAGAGCUUGUGUACAGAGAAUGCUGCUGCAGCUUCUGUUAGCUAGAGAGGUGUUUUGAUACUCAGAUUCUACACCAGGAGGAAGUUACACAUUGCUUUGGUCUUCUUCCUGUUCAAGCUUAGGAAAAAAAAAAAAAAGAAAGGUUGACAGUUACAUCAGAGCUUGUUUAUAACAUGUACUUUGGCUGUAGCUGUGUUUCAUGACUUCACAUGCUGCUCAUUUGCCUUCUGACUUUUGCAGAGUCUUGUGAGGAGUCAGAGGUGGAGGAUCCGAGCGGCUUCAAGCAUUGCAAAAGCAGUUUUUGUUGAAAGGAUUAAAAUGCUUCUGUGAACUGUAGUGGCAGAUACUCUGGAAUGACAGUCCUGUGGGUGGGAGAGCACCUAUGGACACUGUAGGGAGUUGUUGGUCUGACCUUGGUGCAUAUGUGUGACGCUGCCUGCUGCUCAGUGCUGCUGGGCAGGUGGAGAGCAGAGCUGAGGGAAAUGCCUCUGGAUACAGCUCUGGCGCCUGGCAGGGAGAUGCUGCUGGCCCAGGGAAUGGGCACAGGCUCUUGCCACCCUCCUGCCCUGCUGGCCCUGCACAGGGAGCUGGCAGCUCCUCUGUGCUGUGGUCCUGAGGUGAGGCAGGGUGUGAUCAAUUCGACUUUGGCCCUCAUUCCCAAUUGCUUGGCUUUACUCUGUUGGGAGCUGGGAACAAUUCAUGGCUGAAGUGGCUACGAGUUCCUUUUUGGUUACAUAAGUCAGGAUUUUGUAACAUCUCCCUACACUGCCUGUUGCUGAAGGGUUCAGGGGCUUCAGGCAAAUGAACUUGCUAAAGGCAAGUGAAAAGCUUAUUUCACUUACAGCAGGAACCUGAGGCAGAAAUUAGGUUUAUAAUCAAGCUAAUGUGGUCUCUCAGUAAAGUACAGUGUAAAAGCAGCUCAGACUGGAGCAGAGUGGAAAGCCCAUGGAGUUCAAGCUAAGAGGACUUUGGAUAAUCCAGAGGAAUACAUAUAGUGUGUUGGAGUGGAUUUGAGGAGCUCUGCUGUAUACCAAGGCUUAGUAAAAUUGCUGGAGCUGGCUUGGGAAAAAAAAAUAAAA